rnacentral:rRNA from 1 species
GAUAAUAAAAAUUUAACAUCCAUCUUUAAGAUGUGAUUUAAUUUUUAUUUCCUUCCUUUUGAAUACACUCCCUAAACUACUUUGGGGAUCAAAGUGUUUCAAAUCGUUUACUGUGAAGAAAUUAGAGUGUUCAAAGCAGGCGUAACCUAGCCUUUGAAUAUAUUAGCAUGGGAUAAUGAAAUAGGACUUUAGUCCUACUUUCGUUGGUUUCUAGGGCUGAAGUA